rnacentral:rRNA from 1 species
ACACGGCCCAGACUCCUACGGGAGGCAGCAGUGGGGAAUAUUGCACAAUGGGCGAAAGCCUGAUGCAGCGACGCCGCGUGAGGGAUGACGGCCUUCGGGUUGUAAACCUCUUUCGCCAGGGACGAAGCGCAAGUGACGGUACCUGGAUAAGAAGCACCGGCUAACUACGUGCCAGCAGCCGCGGUAAUACGUAGGGUGCGAGCGUUGUCCGGAUUUAUUGGGCGUAAUGAGCUCGUAGGCGGUUUGUCGCGUCGGCCGUGAAAUCUCCACGCUUAACGUGGAGCGUGCGGUCGAUACGGGCAGACUUGAGUUCGGUAGGGGAGACUGGAAUUCCUGGUGUAGCGGUGAAAUGCGCAGAUAUCAGGAGGAACACCGGUGGCGAAGG